AAAGAUGAAAGAAAUAGAAUAGGAUUAAAUUAAAGGUGGCGUAACUUGGAGGGAUUGGCCACGAAAAUUACCCAUUUAAGGUGUUAAUGCGCAGAUCCAGCGUAUGGAUCAGUCAACGCAUGGGUUUUUCUUUCCCCCCCCUUAAUUACGCCGAUUUAAAAUUUAAUAUAACUUUUAUUAUACAUAUAUAUUUUAAAAGCUUACAAAACCACUUUUCUAAGCAAAACCCCCAAAAUUCUUAACCCUUUCAGCUAGGGUUUCAAUCAACAAGCUUGCAGCAGCCGAACCACCACCAGAUCCGGUGGCCGACAGCGCGCAGACGAUGGCAUGAACUUGCCAACGACAGAGAACUUUUACUAUGCCCGUGGAGAUUUGUUGUACAGAGGAAACCAGGCACGGGAGUCGCAGCACGGGAGAAAUUUUUUUUCCAGAAACCCAAAUAUGAUAGGUUAUUUGGGCUAGUCCUGAAAUUGGGCAACUGGGUCCAUGCUAGAAUUGGACUAUUGAGUCCAUGCAUUUAGGUUAAGGUUAUUGGGCCAGUGGGUUUGUGGUAAUAGACUUUGGACUAAAAAAAUUAUUAUUUUGGCUUUUUAUUUUAAUUUAUUUUUGGUUUAUUUA